UACGGAGGAUCCGAGCGUUAUCCGGAUUUAUUGGGUUUAAAGGGUGCGUAGGCGGCCUGUUAAGUCAGGGGUGAAAGACGGUAGCUCAACUAUCGCAGUGCCCUUGAUACUGAUGGGCUUGAAUGAACUAGAGGUAGGCGGAAUGUGACAAGUAGCGGUGAAAUGCAUAGAUAUGUCACAGAACACCAAUUGCGAAGGCAGCUUACUAUGGUUAGACUGACACUGAGGCACGAAAGCGUGGGGAUCAAACAGG
rnacentral:rRNA from 1 species